rnacentral:lncRNA from 1 species
UUUCGACAUCAUUUGACUAGUGAUCAAAAGAUCUCAAAAUUGACAAUUUUAAUGGCCGAUGUGGUGUGUUUGAGAGUUUAACGAUAUAAAACAAUCCAAAUCUGAUGAAAAUUUUAUAGAAAAUUCUUUUAACUAUUUAGAGUAAGAUCAGUAUAUAUGAUCUUGAAUUUAAAUCUUUUAUCAUUAUUUUUUAUGAGAUUUUUAUUUUCAGCCGUUUAAUUUUAGACUACUUGUUUGAUAUGUAAAUGAUAUCGAAAAAUUAUGAAAUUUAGUUUAUAAAUACUUUUAAUAGUGUAGAUCAAGUCUAACGGAGCUGAUCGUCGAUUUGGAAGCCACAUUAUCAAAAACAACUUGGUAGCACGGAGCGCUCCGUGCUACCGAUAGUAUAGUAGCCUAGCUCUAUAUAUAUAUUUCAAAUUACGAUAAUCAAUUAUUAGGAUUGAAGAAUAGAAUAAGUAUAUCUUCAAUUUUUAUC